CGCUGCAGCUGGCAGAGAGAAAAGCACCAGGCUGAGCAAAUCAGGGUGGGGCGUGAUGGGAGGGGGGCAUAAGCGGGCCUUAGUAAGGGGCUCCAUUGCAACAGCUCUGCAGCCCCCCUCCCCCCCGCUCCUCUUGGAAGAGUUUGAGAAAAGAGUCCAAUCACACACAGAGAGAUUUCCUCCAUGGCACUCGGACCUCGGUUGGCAAGCGGGCAUCAGAAGCGGAAAGCGGGCGAGGCGAGCAUUCCCGACCCUCUACAUCCCCCAAAGAGGUUAUGAGGGGCUCCGGGGCAAAAAGCAGCCCGCUUCUUCCAGAGAUUUGGGGGGGGGGGCUUUUUUAAUGCCCACCCCUUUUGAUGCAUACAGCACCAUGCAAACCACCGACUUACACAGGACUUCAGCCUCUCUCUCUUGCCAGCUGAAGCGAAGCGUAACCCCUAAAGGUGGCACAAUGGAGGCAAGGAGGAAAAGAGGAGGGGGCGUCUCUCUCCUGCAGGAAGGGUCCCAGGAGCCUUCCAACUGCCUGCCUGCCCACCCAUUUCACAGAUCAUCUCAAGAGGCCCAAAGCAGGACCAGCUGGAUUAAAAACACCAAGUCCCUCCAAUUUUCUAAGGGUGAUUCAACUACUCAAACACGAGACAUUGUCCAAGAGGUACAACACAAAAGGGGAGGGAACAUAAAGUGACGUAAAGUUCACGCUAACAUCUUAAA